rnacentral:rRNA from 1 species
AGUGGACGCUGGCGGUAGGCCUAACACAUGCAAGUCGAACGGCAGCACAGAGGAGCCUGCUCCUUGGGUGGCGAGUGGCGGACGGGUGAGGAAUACAUCGGAAUCUACUCUGUCGUGGGGGAUAACGUAGGGAAACUUACGCUAAUACCGCAUACGACCUACGGGUGAAAGCAGGGGACGUUCGGGCCUUGCGCGAUUGAAUGAGCCGAUGUCGGAUUAGCUAGUUGGCGGGGUAAAGGCCCACCAAGGCGACGAUCCGUAGCUGGUCUGAGAGGAUGAUCAGCCACACUGGAACUGAGACACGGUCCAGACUCCUACGGGAGGCAGCAGUGGCGAAUAGUGGACAAUGGGCGCAGGCCUGAUCCAGCCAUACCGCGUGGGUGAAGAAUGCCUUCGGGUUGUAAAGCCCUUUUGUUGGGAAAGAAAUCCAGCUGGCUAAUACCCGGUUGGGAUGACGGUACCCAAAGAAUAAGCACCGGCUAACUUCGUGCCAGCCGCCGCCGUAA